rnacentral:rRNA from 1 species
GAUGAACGCUGGCGGCGUGCCUAAUACAUGCAAGUCGAGCGAACGGACGAGAAGCUUGCUUCUCUGAUGUUAGCGGCGGACGGGUGAGUAACACGUGGAUAACCUACCUAUAAGACUGGGAUAACUUCGGGAAACCGGAGCUAAUACCGGAUGAUAUUUUGAACCGCAUGGUUCAAAAGUGAAAGACGGUCUUGCUGUCACUUAUAGCUGGAUCCGCGCUGCAUUAGCUAGUUGGUAAGGUAACGGCUUACCAAGGCAACGAUGCAUAGCCGACCUGAGAGGGUGACCGGCAACACUGGAACUGAGACACGGUCCAGACUCCUACGGGAGGAAGCGGUAGGGAAUCUUCCACAAUGGGCGAAAGCCUGACGGAGCAACGCCGCGUGAGUGAUGAAGGUCUUCGGAUCGUAAAACUCUGUUAUUAGGGAAGAACAUAUGUGUAAGUAACUGUGCACAUCUUGACGGUACCUAAUCAGAAAGCCACGGCUAACUACGUG